UACGUAGGGUGCGAGCGUUAAUCGGAAUUACUGGGCGUAAAGCGUGCGCAGGCGGUUCGUUGUGUCGGUGGUGAAAUCCCCGGGCUUAACCUGGGAAUGGCCAUGGAAACUGGCGAACUGGAGUGCGGCAGAGGGGGGUGGAAUUCCGCGUGUAGCAGUGAAAUGCGUAGAGAUGCGGAGGAACACCGAUGGCGAAGGCGGCAUCCUGGACCGGCAUUGACGCUGAGGCGCGAAAGCCAGGGGAGCAAACGGG
rnacentral:rRNA from 1 species